GACGAACGCUGGCGGCGUGCUUAACACGUGCAAGUCGAGCGGUAAGGCCCUUUCGGGGUACGACGAGCGGCGAACGGGUGAGUAACACGUGGGUGACCUGCCCUCAGCUCUGGGAUAAGCCUGGGAAACCGGGUCUAAUACUGGAUAUGACUCCAUGACGCAUGUUGUGGGGUGGAAAGCCUUGUGCGGCUGAGGAUGGGCCCGCGGCCUAUCAGCUUGUUGGUGGGGUGAUGGCCUACCAAGGCGA
rnacentral:rRNA from 1 species